rnacentral:rRNA from 1 species
GAUGAACGCUGGCGGCGUGCCUAAUACAUGCAAGUCGAGCGAACAGACGAGGAGCUUGCUCCUCUGACGUUAGCGGCGGACGGGUGAGUAACACGUGGAGAACCUACCUAUAAGACUGGGAUAACUUCGGGAAACCGGAGCUAAUACCGGAUAAUAUAUUUAACCGCAUGGUUCAAUAGUGAAAGACGGUUUUGCUGUCACUUAUAGAUGGAUCCGCGCCGCAUUAGCUAGUUGGUAAGGUAACGGCUUACCAAGGCAACGAUGCGUAGCCGACCUGAGGGGGUGAUCGGCCACACUGGAACUGAGACACGGUCCAGACUCCUACGGGAGGCAGCAGUAGGGAAUCUUCCGCAAUGGGCGAAAGCCUGACGGAGCAACGCCGCGUGAGUGAUGAAGGUCUUCGGAUCGUAAAACUCUGUUAUUAGGGAAGAACAAAUGUGUAAGUAACUAUGCACGUCUUGACGGUACCUAAUCAGAAAGCCACGGCUAACUACGUG